rnacentral:sRNA from 12 species
ACAGGCAGGACUUAGUAGGCGGUAUAGCUGAAAACGAUGCUUUGAGCGAAGGAGCGCUUUGCCCAUUGAACUCGCGCCCGAUGAUACGCCGCUGGACGCUGGCCGAAAAGGCCCGUCCGCCACCGAGUGGCGGGCGCUUGCAUGGCCGGUGAAUGUGCGGAAACCCGGUUUCAUGGCGGCGGCUACGCAGUUAGAACCCGCACCCGACAAUAAGACUGCACGGAGGCGCAUAUUGACCAACAAAGA